UGAACAGAGAGCCUAUCUGUGGUACGGGCA
rnacentral:piRNA from 1 species